rnacentral:rRNA from 1 species
ACUAGCGGCAGGCUAAUACAUGCAAGUCGAACGGUAACAUAGAGUAGCAAUACUCUGAUGACGAGUGGCGGAUGGGUGCGUAACGCGUAUGUGACCUACCCAUAUUCGGGACAAAACAUCGAGAAAUUGGUGCUAAUAUCCUAUAUGUCUAUGAGCUGCAUGGUUUAUAGAUGAAAGUCGCAAGAUGAAUAUGGAUGGGCAUGCGUGCCAUUAGCUAGUUGGUAAGGUAACGGCUUACCAAGGCGACGAUGGCUAGGGGCUCUGAGAGGAUUACCCCCCACAUUGGAACUGAGACACGGUCCAAACUCCUACGGGAGGCAGCAGUAAGGAAUAUUGGUCAAUGGGCGGAAGCCUGAACCAGCCAUGCCGCGUGCAGGAAGACGGUCCCUAUGGAUUGUAAACUGCCUUUAUACAGGAGUAAUAGCAGAUACGUGUAUCUGUGUGCAAGUACUGUAGGAAUAAGCAUCGGCUAACUCCGUGCCAGCCGCGGC